rnacentral:rRNA from 1 species
UACGAAGGGGGCUAGCGUUGCUCAGAAUCACUGGGCGUAAAGCGCACGUAGGCGGCUUGUUAAGUCAGGGGUGAAAUCCUGGAGCUCAACUCCAGAACUGCCUUUGAUACUGGCAAGCUUGGAGUCCGGGAGAGGUGAGUGGAACUGCGAGUGUAGAGGUGAAAUUCGUAGAUAUUCGCAAGAACACCAGUGGCGAAGGCGGCUCACUGGCCCGGUACUGACGCUGAGGUGCGAAAGCGUGGGGAGCAAACAGG